GUCCAUCUGACGCAUUUCAAAUAGGACGAAACGCGCGUCCUGGAU
rnacentral:hammerhead_ribozyme from 1 species